GACGAACGCUGGCGGCGUGCCUAAUACAUGCAAGUAGAACGCAGUUGCGAACGGGUGAGUAACGCGUAGGUAACUGCCUCAUAGCGGGGGAUAACUAUUGGAAACGUUAGCUAAUACCGCAUACUGUGAGAUGGACCUGCGUUGUAUUAGGUAGUUGGUGAGGUAAAGGCUCACCAAGGCGACGAUACAUAGCCGACCUGAGAGGGUGAGCGGGCAAACUGGGACUUGGACACGGCCCAGACUCCGACGGGAGGCAGCAGUAGGGAACUAUCGGAAAUGGACGGAAGUCUGACCGAGCCACGCCGCGUGAGGGAAGAAGGUUUUCGGAUCGGAAAGCUCUGUUGUUAGAGAAGCGGUAACUAACGAGAAAGGGACGGCUAACUACGUGCCAGCCGCCGCGGUAAUUC
rnacentral:rRNA from 1 species